rnacentral:rRNA from 1 species
CGCGUAGGAAUCUACCUUUUGGCGGGGGAUAGCCCGAAGAAAUUCGGAUUAAUACCGCAUAAGCCCUACGGGGGAAACGAGGCCUCUAUUUAUAAGCUUCGACCAAAAGAUGAGCCUGCGUUAGAUUAGCUAGUUGGUGGGGUAAUGGCCCACCAAGGCGACGAUCUAUAGCUGGUCUGAGAGGAUGAUCAGCCACACUGGGACUGAGACACGGCCCAGACUCCUACGGGAGGCAGCAGUGGGGAAUAUUGGACAAUGGGCGCAAGCCUGAUCCAGCAAUACCGCGUGUGUGAAGAAGGG